rnacentral:rRNA from 1 species
GAUGAACGCUGGCGGCGUGCUUAACACAUGCAAGUCGAACGGUGAACGAGGGAGCCUGCUCCCUCCGGAUCAGUGGCGAACGGGUGAGUAACACGUGAGCAAUCUGCCCUGGACUCUGGGAUAAGCGUUGGAAACGACGUCUAAUACCGGAUACGAGACGCGAAGGACUCUUUAGCGUCUGGAAAGAACUUCGGUCCAGGAUGAGCUCGCGGCCUAUCAGGUAGUUGGUGAGGUACGGCUCACCAAGCCUACGACGGGUAGCCGGCCUGAGAGGAUGAUCCGCCACACUGGGACUGAGACACGGCCCAGACUCCUACGGGAGGCAGCAGUGGGGAAUAUUGCACAAUGGGCGCAAGCCUGAUGCAGCCAUGCCGCGUGUAUGAAGAAGGCCUUCGGGUUGUAAAGUACUUUCAGCGGGGAGGAAGGCGGUGAAGUUAAUAACUUCACCGAUUGACGUUACCCGCAGAAGAAGCACCGGCUAACUCCGUGCCAGC